AAAAGUCUCUGUUAACAGCUUGGGUGGGCCAGUAAGUUGGAUGGGAUGGAGUCUCUAUAGAUAUCCAGAGAGGGGCAAACAGUGUUAGCCAGGUUGAUGGAGUCUCAGAUAUGGCACCAGCCUGCCAGGUCUGUGGCUCUGUUGGGGGAG